GACGUAGGGGGCCAGCGUUGUUCGGAAUUACUGGGUGUAAAGGGUUCGUAGGCGGUGUGGCAAGUUGGGAGUGAAAUCUCUGGGCUCAACCCAGAGGCUGCUUCCAAAACUGCCAUGCUUGAGUGUGGGAGAGGCGCGUGGAAUUGCAGGUGUAGCGGUGAAAUGCGUAGAUAUCUGCAGGAACACCCGUGGCGAAAGCGGCGCGCUGGACCACUACUGACGCUGAGGAACGAAAGCUAGGGGAGCAAACAGG
rnacentral:rRNA from 1 species